UUCUUCAGAAUCAGAGACACGUCUCCAUCCUUCAUCUGUCUGUCCUGAAGAUCCACCCGGUUCUGGAAAGAUGGAUGCUGGCGUUCUGGAUAACAGC